rnacentral:lncRNA from 1 species
AAAAACGGCCAAUAGUUGGGAAACGAAAAACAUAUUUAAUCCUAAGAUAUAUUAUUAAAAGAAAGUUAAUUUCUUAAAAAUUUAUAAAAAAAUGAAAAUUUUAAAUAGACCUAAAGUACUAAAGAAUGACAAAAUGUUACAGUAUUUCUAUUCUUUAACUAACACACAUUAAAUAAUUUAUUUUUAACUUUCAAUUGGAAGACAUAAUAUGACAUUUAAAAUGUAAA